UACGUAGGGGGCUAGCGUUGUCCGGAAUCAUUGGGCGUAAAGAGCGUGUAGGCGGUCCGGUAAGUCCGCUGUGAAAGUCGGGGGCUCAACCCUCGAAUGCCGGUGGAUACUGUCGGGCUAGAGUGCGGAAGAGGCGAGUGGAAUUCCUGGUGUAGCGGUGAAAUGCGCAGAUAUCAGGAGGAACACCUAUUGCGAAGGCAGCUCGCUGGGACGUUACUGACGCUGAGACGCGAAAGCGUGGGGAGCAAAAGGG
rnacentral:rRNA from 1 species